AUGGCGGAGGAACCGUCCGCCAAGCAUCAUCAUGGCGAGACGUCGGACAAGAGUAGCAACCUCGUUGAUGUUCAUGUCCCCGGCGACAAACGCGAGUAUACCAAAACCCUCACAGGGGUUGAGCUCCAUGGCAAGGAGACGCUGGAGAUCGUCUGCACCAGUGAACUAGACAAGGCCGACGAGAUGAUCUCCAGGCUUUGGAGGAAGGUUGGCGGCUCGCAUCAUAGGAUCGUCGGCGUUGGUGUGCACUACACCAGCGGAGAUGAACCUCCCUAG
rnacentral:rRNA from 1 species